rnacentral:rRNA from 1 species
CCUACGGGAGGCAGCAGUGGGGAAUAUUGCACAAUGGGGGAAACCCUGAUGCAGCGACGCCGCGUGAGUGAAGAAGUAUUUCGGUAUGUAAAGCUCUAUCCUCAGGGACGAAAAUGACGAUACCUGCGUAAGAAGACGCGGCUACCUACGUGCCAGCAGCCGCGGUAAUAAGUAGGGGGCAAGCGUUAUCCGGCUUUACUGGGGGUAAAGGGAGCGUAGACGGCAGUGCAAGUCUGGAGUGAAAGGCGGGGGCUCAACCCCCGGACUGCUCUGGAAAAUGUACGGCUGGAGUGCAGGAGAGGUAAGUGGAAUUCCGAGUGUAGCGGUGAAAUGCGUAGAUAUCGCGCAGAACCCCGAUGGCGAAGGCAGCGUGCCGUGCCGCCACUGACGCUGAGGCACGAAAGCGCGGGGAGCGAACAGGAUUAGAUACCCGGGUAGUC